GCACCUCCCUUUGUUACACUAAUAAUUCUAUCUCUCUCUUUCUUUAAUUUAUUGUUGAAGUAGGGAGAGAAGGCAGUACAGGGUGGAGGAAAAAAGUGUAGGUACUGUGUUGUUGAUACCUUCGUAAACUUAAUAAUAUAACAUUGCAUAAAAACCUCAGAAACAAUGCUCUAACAAAUAAACAAUAGUAGACGGUAACAACUGACGAAUCCAAUCUGUAGUUUACUAUGGAAAUAUAUAGUAUUUUAAUUAUGGAGUAAGAAAUUUGUAUAUUAUGUGGAUAGGAAAUUGAUUAUUUAAAGAGUGGUGAAAAAUCUGAAGUUUAAUAGUUUGAACCAUAGAUAGUAAACAUAACACAGCAACACUUUCAAUAACAAACAUACACUGACAUACAUAACCUGAACCUGACUCUUGAUACAUAUGAAAAUUAACAAUAUUAUUCAACGAUAUAAUUAGGAAUCUUUUGUAAGUUUGAAAAUAUUAUAAGAAAUGUAUAUAUUCAUCCUUUCCAAGUGUGUAUAAGAAUUUAAGGUUGGUGGAGUUAUAACAAUUUUAAUACUCAACAAUAAAAUAUGAAUUUACUUAAAAAUACUUAAUUUAUAUUGUGACAAAUCUUUCCUGGAGAUUAUUUGCAGUUCAAAUGUCUUAGGAUGUAUGUUGGCACAGAUCACACCCAAAAGUUCAAAAGUGAUUUAAUUAAGUCCAGUAGUUGUUUCAAAAUUUAUAUCGUUCAUAAAUCAAAUGAUUUCAAAGUGAGUUAAAAAUUAGAGAGUUUAAUAUCAAAUUAAAUUCUAUUUUAAAUAGAAUUACACGGCUUUAGUUCAGCGGGAGUACGAUUAUCUUAAAAGUAGGACUUCUGGGUGUCUAAGUAGAAUUACUUCUCUUUAUAUUAUGUUAUAUACACAAUCUAAUUGAAGUUCAGUUUUAUCAACUUUUGCAACAAUAUAGUUUGUUUGGCUAGAAAUCUCACGUAUUUAUAAGCAUGUAAGCAAAUUUAUACUGGCCGCUUAAGCCUUGAACAAUGGCGACACUGCUUAAUUAUGGCGUCCCUAGCUAAGCAAUUCUUAAAUUGGCUUAUACUUGACAUAACUGCUUUAAAUCCAAGUAAAUAUUACUUACAGUUCGUUAAGAUAUUUAGUUGUAACAAUUUCAUUAAUGUACACAACCGACGAUACCCUAAACUCAUAUUUUUAAUAAUUUUAAUUGUUCAGGCGUCAGGCCUUAGCCUACACGUAGUAACGCCAAAAAUCACACUUUUUUAAGUUACUUCCUGUUCCUGUGUGGCUGAGAUACGUGUAUACCCAAUAUAUAUGGUUCAUAACAUCCUUUCAUGGCCUUUGGUUACAACAAUACGGUAAGGAACUAGAAUAAAAUUAAUUGAAUUUACAAAUUAAACAGAUGGUCAGAAUAAAAAAAUAAACGGUAAAAAAAAAUUAACGAAAAUUACAACAAUGCAGAUGAAAGAAAAAAAAAUAUUAAUAUUAUUAAAGUUCCACAGAUGAAAAGUUUAUGGUUGUAAUAAGGCGAAAUAUUUACUAAACAUUCAUAGCAGAUAUCUUAAUAAACACGAAGAUGUCUGUGCUAUCACCAUGUAAUAGUACAGAUGCUGUCCCAUGGGAUAAUCAUAAAACGAAGCGAGCACAAAGCAUAAGAUCGCCGGUUUAUUAUUAACCCAUCUGUCUCUCUCACACACAGCAGGUGCGACCGUUACUCGAAGCGACGGUUGAGAAUUGGCAUGGAGGUGGGGGUUGGGUGGCGCGCUAAUCAGCGAUCAACCGGCGGCCGAGGCGUGGCGUGACUGUUCAGUCUCGUGUCAGCCGUCUCGCAGUAGACACCUCGCUGCUUCGCGCUCCGUAAAUGGCGCGAGAACUCCGUCGUCUCGUAGUCGUGCUGUUGAUAGGGUGUUGGGAUGGUGAAGAACAUCAAGCAGGAACAUAGCACUGGUAGGUUUACUUACAGUUGAGUGUAGUGCUCGGCUAGGUAGUGUCAGGUGCACCAAUACUAACACUCAGUGGUUCUCCCGGAUUCACCACAGCGUCGUGGUGUGCUGCCACACACCUGGGCAGGCGAUAACGAUACCUCCACGACACCGCAGGGGGGUGUCGGCUACUGAUCACGGCAACAGGAUGUACCGUGUCGGGUGACCUGCGCUCGUGAGAACUAGUGGCUGACAGUGGCGGGUCCUGACGAUGUCCGCUACAGUGCCGGGCUCGGCUCUCCAGGUGGCCCGUGGGCUGUCCCAGCCCUUGACCAGGGAUGGUAUCAACGGGGAAUAGACGGAGGUCUCAUGCUGACGCCGCUGUGUCAGCAUACGUGGCGUCAACCUAAUGUCUAGUAGGAGCAAGGCCAGCUCCGUCAUCGCACCGCUAAGUAUAUUUCCGUGUUCUACACUCGUGGUUAUUUCCGCACUAUGCACACGACAGGUGUGUAUCUAGUAUAUCGCGUUUCCAUAACUCACUUUAACAGUAAACAUAACAAUGUUCUGUGCUGACUGGUUGCUGCUUGAAGUCGCUCUCACAGUAGGAUUGGUGUAAAUAACCAGGAAAGAUUUAAUCACUUUUACGAAAAUUAAUUACUUAAUCAAAAAAAAAUUAUAUUCGUUACGAGAAAUAGGAAAUUGUUUAAAGAAAAUAAAUUCUAGUUGUCAUUAUUGACGUAUUAAUAAUAUACUAUACAUUGCAACAAUAAGAUAAAAUCUUAUUAAUUAUUCAACAUCAAAGUAAUGCUAUAAUUGUGGAUUAUCAUAGGAACACAAUAUUUACACAAUUGUACUGCUAGUUUACUUAUUGGUUGACUAGUCUGUCAGUGGUAUAACCUUAUAUUAGUUUUCUGGUUUUGUUUACAACUUGUAAUUACCAUAUCAAUAAUUAUCAGUGUUGAUUUACACCAUUUUUUUUUUUUUUUGUAAUUAUCCUCAUUAGAUAUCAUGAUAAUGUAGCAUACAAUUGCUAUUCAGCCUAUUUUACUGCUACAUAACAGUAUUAUGAUUGGAAUUUUAUUCCACAAAAAAAAAUAUUAUUCAUAUUUACAAUGGUUUCAACACAGCAUUUAACCUGUGAUUUACUGAGUAAAUUAGUUGACUACUAAUGCAAUUAUCAGUAUUAUUACAAUUUCUUACAACAUAUUAAGAGAUUAUUAAAUAACAUAACACAAGAAAAAUAUUUACACACAAGAUUAACCAGUUGAAAAAUUAUAUACAUAAUUAAAGUUAUACAUAAUUGAAUAUCAUCAUUUCUUAUGAUGCAACAGUCAUUAUUAUUUUACAGUUUGUUACACAUAUUUCAUAACCUUAUCAGUUCUUAUGAUAUCUUGACAGAUAUUAUUAUUAUCCAAGCCUAAAAUUAUUACAUAGUGUUCUACAGAUGAAUAAUAAUUCAGAUGCAGUCUUGGACAAUUUCAGUGUUUUUUCUUGAGUAUGGUGAGGUUUUCAGCUGGUGGUUUACAGUCUCUCACUAUCUUACUCUGGACACAGCUGCACAGUAGAUUACUUGCAGAAUGCUGUUGUCUUGUUAGGUAGGCUGUCAGCUACUGGCUGAUGCGGAGUCUCAUAUCAUUUCAAGAAUGUUCAUGAUCUUCCAGUCAGGUGUUACACCUAUUUACCCUGACAUAUAAAAAUUUCUUGCACUUUUAUACAUUUGUCACAAUUCUGUUACAGUGACUUCCUUCAACAACUGGGCAGCAUAAGAGCGGACUUUCUCUCGCAACACCAGUGUUCCUUGCUACUGUGGAUAACAACUCAGAAGACAAUCACAUCAUCAUGUGCUGCUGAACAACAGUGACGUCACUCGCGUGACAGUGUGAUCCUCAAGAUGACAGUGCUUCGAAUUAUGUGUUACACAUCAAAAUAAUAUUCGGAGUUCAUAAAAUUAAUUUGUGCCCAUAAUUUAUAAAAUCAAAUUCCAAAAUAAAUUAGUUCCAGUGCAGUUUUUUUUUCUCUUCAUUCUGAUAGAGCAAAAUAAAUCACACAAAUUUCUUCAUAUCAAGCUUCCAUAAUUUUUUUUUUUUUUUUAAAUUGCAAAAUAUUAUUAAAUAUUUUUUUUUUUUUUUUUAAAUAAGAUAGCUUUGUGCGUGAUCCAACAACAAGCUAAGGCUCAGAGUGCUACGAGAAGGAGUAUCAUAUCUGCAGUGACUUCCUUCAACAACUGGGCAGCAUAAGAGCGGACUUUCUCUCGCAACACCAGUGUUCCUUGCUACUGUGGAUAACAACUCAGAAGACAAUCACAUCAUCAUGUGCUGCUGAACAACAGUGACGUCACUCGCGUGACAGUGUGAUCCUCAAGAUGACAGUGCUUCGAAUUAUGUGUUACACAUCAAAAUAAUAUUCGGAGUUCAUAAAAUUAAUUUGUGCCCAUAAUUUAUAAAAUCAAAUUCUAAAAUAAAUUAGUUCCAGUGGA